UACGAAGGGGGCUAGCGUUGUUCGGAAUCACUGGGCGUAAAGCGCACGUAGGCGGAUUGUUAAGUCGGGGGUGAAAUCCUGAGGCUCAACCUCAGAACUGCCUUCGAUACUGGCAAUCUCGAGUCCGGAAGAGGUUGGUGGAACAGCUAGUGUAGAGGUGAAAUUCGUAGAUAUUAGCUAGAACACCAGUGGCGAAGGCGGCCAACUGGCCCGGUACUGACGCUGAGGUGCGAAAGCGUGGGAGCAAACAGG
rnacentral:rRNA from 1 species